UAAGAUCAGGCCGAAAGGCGUAGUCGAUGGAAAACAGGUUAAUAUUCCUGUACUAAUUUUGAAGUGGUACCGAGGGACGAAGGAGGUAACAGUUGGCCAAUAUUGGAUGUUGGCGGAAACGUUCAAGGUGAUGAGAGAUAGAAUAAAAACUAUUCUUGAGCAUAGACGUGAUACGGUAUUAUUCACUGUAGGAGAGCUUUGCUCAAAUUCAAAAGAAUACUCAAUUAGUUAUCAAACUUCCUAGAAAAGCUCGAACUUCCAAUACUUCAAAAUUACCCGUACCCGAAACCGACACAGGUAGGUAGGUAGAGUAUACUAAGGGGCGCGAGAUAACUCUCUCUAAGGAACUCGGCAAAAUGGCCCCGUAACUUCGGGAGAAGGGGCGCCCUCAAUUAAGAGGGCCGCAGUGACCAGGCCCAGGCGACUGUUUACCA
rnacentral:rRNA from 14 species